UGAGGAAUAUUGGUCAAUGGGCGCGAGCCUGAACCAGCCAAGUCGCGUGAGGGAUGACGGCCCUACGGGUUGUAAACCUCUUUUGUCGGGGAGCAAAUUCCGUUACGUGUAACGGAGUCGAGAGUACCCGAAGAAAAAGCAUCGGCUAACUCCGUGCC
rnacentral:rRNA from 1 species